CCGUCCGGGGACCUUCCGUGAGCGUUGAUAUGAUUGGCCGGCGGAGUUUUAGCCCUCUUUUCCUCUCUGGCUGUUUGAAGAUCAGCCGCCAUCAUGAACGACACAGUAACUAUCCGGACUAGGAAGUUCAUGACCAACCGACUGCUUCAGCGGAAACAAAUGGUCAUCGAUGUUCUUCACCCUGGAAAGGCAACAGUACCUAAAACAGAAAUUCGGGAAAAACUGGCCAAAAUGUACAAGACCACACCAGAUGUCAUCUUUGUAUUUGGAUUCAGAACUCAUUUUGGUGGUGGCAAGACAACUGGCUUCGGCAUGAUUUACGAUUCCUUGGAUUACGCGAAGAAGAAUGAGCCCAAACAUAGGCUUGCAAGACAUGGCCUGUAUGAGAAGAAAAAGACCUCAAGAAAACAGCGAAAGGAACGCAAGAACAGAAUGAAGAAAGUCAGGGGGACUGCAAAGGCCAACGUUGGUGCUGGCAAAAAGAAGGUAACCUGUUUUGAGAAGCCACGUAACGUAGUAUCUUAACACCUCAGUAGAGUAGCUUUGCCCACCCCUUAGCUCACAGAUUAGCACAGCACAGGGCCACAUCGGUUCAGUGAUCCUGGUGGGUGCCUUGCAAGUUUUACCAGAAAAGUUCUCACUUUACUGCUAAUUGCAAAGGUUUGUAAAGAGGGAGCGGAUCUCGGUUCCCAAGAAUGACGGCCUUAAAAUUGGCAGCUGAUUGAGGAAGCAGCUGAAUCGAUGUGGUCCGUGUUUUCCUGGCACACUGGAGAGGCAGCACGGUUUUCCCUUGCUUUCCUCUCCAGUUAGUCAGGACUUGAGUGAUUUUAAUUCUCAGCUUUUUACCAGCUUGGCUAGCUAAUUGUAAGUAGUUGAAUGGAAUUAAGGUGUUGGGUUGUCAAAUUAACAAAUAAUUAAGUGUUCUGUGAACUUUUUUUUUUUGCCUUUUCCCUCUACUUUCUUGGAAUUCUUGUUCAUCAGAAAUGAAGUGUCUAGCAGUGAGCUGGAGAUUGGACAACAGAAGGAGUAAAGAUUCUGCAGUGACUGUAUCUGUGGUGAUUGUGCAGAUUUUUCAUGAAAGAGAAAAUAAACUAAGACCUUUUACAUGUCUGGCUGUUUG